rnacentral:tRNA from 1 species
UCCUCCAUAGCUCAGUGGUAGAGCGUCCAACCGGCACUGGAAGGUCAUGGGUUCGAUUCCCGUUGGGGAGCUCAGAA